UGGUGCCUUCGGGAACCGUGAGACAGGUGCUGCAUGGCUGUCGUCAGCUCGUGUUGUGAAAUGUUGGGUUAAGUCCCGCAACGAGCGCAACCCUUAUCCUUUGUUGCCAGCGGUUAGGCCGGGAACUCAAAGGAGACUGCCAGUGAUAAACUGGAGGAAGGUGGGGAUGACGUCAAGUCAUCAUGGCCCUUACGACCAGGGCUACACACGUGCUACAAUGGCGCAUACAAAGAGAAGCGACCUCGCGAGAGCAAGCGGACCUCAUAAAGUGCGUCGUAGUCCGGAUUGGAGUCUGCAACUCGACUCCAUGAAGUCGGAAUCGCUAGUAAUCGUGGAUCAGAAUGCCACGGUGAAUACGUUCCCGGGCCUUGUACACACCGCCCGUCACACCAUGGGAGUGGGUUGCAAAAGAAGUAGGUAGCUUAACCUUCGGGAGGGCGCUUACCACUUUGUGAUUCAUGACUGGGGUGAAGUCGUAACAAGGUAACCGUAGGGGAACCUGCGGUUGGAUCACCUCCUUACCUGAAAGAAGC
rnacentral:rRNA from 1 species